rnacentral:tRNA from 2 species
GGCGAGGUAGCUCAGCCUGGCUAGAGCGCGGGAUUCAUAACCCCGAGGUCGCGAGUUCAAAUCUCGCUCUCGCCA